UCGGAGGGGUGGUGGCGUCCGGCGGGAGCCGGCUGAGGCGACCCGGUCCUCCCACGUCAGCGCGUAGCCGCGUCCAGUGCGUCAGGAGCAACUUCCGGCCUGGGGGCCGCCCCGUGGGGAUCUGAAGAUGUGAGGUCGGUGCGUGCCGCGGCGGCCGUCCCCGAACUUGUGACCGAGCGGAGGCGGCGUCUCAGACCUGCGCCUCGGCCCCCGGCUCAGGACUGGCGGCAAACCGCAGCGAUCAGCCCAGCUCCCUCGAAACGGCAGCCGCACCUUCGAGGCUCUGUAACAUCGAUGAGGCUCCGGCCCAUGUCUUGUGGUGAAAAUGGUGACCAGACCGAAAACACAUUCUUGGGGCUGGCAUCUGCAGUGCAGGCCACGAGGAGUCUGUGACCUUUGAUAAUAUGUUUGUCAACUUCACCCUGGAGAAGUGGGCUUUGCUCAGUCCUUCCCAACAGCAGCUGUACAGAGAUGUGAUGGUGGAUACUUUCAGGAACCUGGCCUCCAUACAACAAGAAGGGGAAGACCAGAUUGUUGAAGAGGUAUACAAAAGUCCCAGGAAAUGACUAAGGAAAUUUUCUUCAAAAAUCCGUUUAGAUUGAACAACCAUAAUCUGCAAAUCCAACAUGUUUUAACAUUGGAAACAUCUGGACCUCCAGUUUCUUGCCACAAUGAUUUCUGAUGCUAUAAGGGUUCAAGAUUUAUGGAAACUUGGCCAGUGGCUCAUGCCUGCAAACCUAGCUACUCAGGAGGCUGAGAUCUGAGGACUGUAGUUUGAAGCCAGCUCAGC